UCCAGCGCUUCGUACGCUGCAAGUUGGGUUUCACAGAAGGUUCCAUUAUCGCCUGGCUCGCAAGGCUCUGAAGGAGUCUGCCGGGCGGUGCCUGCCCCGGCUCUCAUCAUUAUUCAGAUCAGUUUCCACUUGCUAAACUGGUCUCUGCCUACGGCCCGCUCCUGGAGCCCGGCCCGCUCUCCCCAGAGGAUUGAACAAUCCUUCUCUCACAGCUUCCUACAUGUUGUGCUAUUUUGUUCUUUCCCAAAUGUCAGCCUCUGCUCACAUGCACGUUUCCCUCGGGUGAAGAUUUCAGAUGUCCCUGUGGCUCUUUCUUCCUGGGAUGGGGACAGGGGUGGUCAGGCCAAGGAAGGACAUCCCAGGGCUGGAGUCCAUGGUCCUGCAUGUGGAGGCUGAGCUGGAAUGGGGGCUACUUUAGGCUCAGGAAGGCAGGAACCCCUGAUCACCCCACAUGGGUCGGUUGAGCUGGCAGAGGCAGGGGCAGAGAGAAGCCAUGGGAGUAAAUUCCCAAGAGAGGGAGACAAAACAGGGACCCCAGGAGCAGAGGUUGGUUGUUCUGCAGCUGGGGAGCCUGUGGCCAGCCUGGCAGGACUCUGCUGUUUGGAGAGGCAUCUCCCUUCACUCUGACGUAAUGGACUCACCCUAAGGCAUUCUCGCACCCUCACAGCACGUAGAAGACUGGGGUGGGCAAGGGGAACAUCCUUGCCUCUGGACACACAUCAAGGUGCAUCCGGGAGAAGGGUCAGGUGUGAGGAGACUGAAGACAGCCCUUCACACUCCUUUCCCACCCUCCCCAGGCAUGGAAGCUUUUCUCCCGUUUCUCCAUCUGGGCUGAGCACACCUAGGCAGAGUCCAGCCCUCACACCCCCGAGGAUCUGGGAGUGCUUCCUGUGCGGCUGCAGAGCGUCAGCCCCUGCGAGCAUGUGCGUGGGAGUCCUUCCUGCCUCUUUCCCUCACUCACAUCUUCCCAAUUCGCCUUCGGUGUGAAAAUCCCUGCCUCUCGCUCUGGAUCUCAGCUCCCGCAGCAUUUUAUCAUCACCUGAGGAGCGGCAAGGUGCUGUCACAGCCAAGCCUGGCCCCACCAGGUGAACCAGGAUCUCUGGGACAAUGCCAGGCGGGGGUGUGCAAGCCACUCUCCAGGUGGUUCUAAUGGGUGGCCAGAGCAGGUGAACGGAACUGAGGGUCAACUAAGGCUUCAGGAUUCAAAGAAUCAAAGGAUUCAAAGAAAGAAAUCAUACCCAGAAUUGGAUCUGCUGGUCAUGCAGUACCAUCCGGGAACCUUGGAGCAUUUGUGGUUGACAGCUUACGUGUGGGUCUGGAAUGCAGGUGACAGGAGAGGACACACACAGACUUUGGAGCCACUGGCAUUUAGGUGGGAUGGAGACCCGUGAUAGGGCAAGGUCAUCCAGUGGGAAAGAGGUCAGCUAGAAGGAGCCUCACAGGCCAGGACUCUGGACAUCAGCACUGUGGGAGGAGCUGAGAGGAGGACCAUUCCCAGAGGAGCCCAAGGAGGGACACACCAGAGAAGGAGGAGGAAGGGGAGGAAGAGGAGUAAGGGGUACAGCUUCCUAUCCCAGACUGCUCUGAGCUCAGGCCCCGCUCCAUCCUGCCUGCAGCACAUGCCACCUGGGAUCAUGCUGGUGGCUCCGACUUCAGGCAGCCACACCAAGUUCUCCAUCUCCCCUCCUUCCCAGGUGCUGCCUCUGUCCUCCUCUUCUUGGUCCUCUUGCCAGACAUCUGGAGUCCCAUACAUCCCCAGAUCUCCUGCCACCACAACUCACCCCAACAGUGAGUCCAUAACUGUCCACUCUCGCCCCGGCUGGUCCACCAUACACAGCACCUACAGGGCAGUUUAGAAAGAUGCAGAACUGACAGUGUGUCUCUCUGCCUCCAGGUUGUCAACGGCCUCUUCUAACCCUGAGUCUAGUUCAAUGUCCUUCUGUGGGGGUCGGGGUCCCGCCCAGUCACUCUUGUCCUGCUCUUCUCCAAGGCUUCCCUUCUCAUUCACCUGCUCAGAUGGAACACACCCAGCUCUUCCAGUUCCUCAAAUGUGCCAAGCCCCUUCCUGGGCCCUGGCCCUGGCCCUUGGCCCCCUUGGCAUGGCCACCUUCCUUAUCCCAGCAAACUGCUGCAUAUUCCUCAACUCCCAGGAGAAACAUUAUCAGUUCAGGGAGUUUCAUUCUUAACCCUCAGGUGAGAGGCACCCAUACGAUGAACUUCCAAAUGCUUUCUUCAGAGCACUUACCUGGUUGUAUGGAUAUAAAGCAUUUGUGCAUAA